rnacentral:sRNA from 1 species
GAGAGACAAGAACAGCUUCAAGCUUUCAGUCUCCGGCGUUUCGGGGAGGAAACGCCUUUUAAUACGAGCGACUGCUCAAAAAAGCCCGCUGCGUUUAUCCCCCGCAGCGGGCUAUUUUGU